AUGGCUGAAAAAUGUUGUGCACAAUGAAAGACUAAGUGACUUGUGUAGUUUAGACAAAGCCCUUAUAGCCCACAAAUAGUAGCACUAUAUUCCUAUUUAGUCUCCAAUAAUGGUCGUGCUUAUUUUUAAUUGGAAAUCAAUAAUUUUGAAAAUAAAAAAAGAACGGUGAAGGACCAUAUUAUAUCAGUUUUGGUGUAAACACAAAAUUGUAGUGGACAACUUAUCAUUUAGCAACUUUAAUCUUUAUUUACAUUUUCAUUAUAGAACACAAAGAGUC
rnacentral:lncRNA from 1 species